GCGCCCCAGAACCCAGCCAGCCCUCCCACCAUGUGCACCACGCCGCUACCAGCGAAGUCGAUCGCCCCACUCCCGAACAACAGCCCGCCGGGACCCACACUCUUCGUCGCCGACAGCCAACCAUCCGUCGACCACAGCCAGUGAGACACAAUCGGGUACACAAAUCCAGUCAGCACCGACGAAUACACCAGGUACGCUACGAACUGCGUGCGCUCCGCAAUCGACCCGGAUGUGAUUCCCGCGGCAGCGAUCGCGAACGCCCACUGAAACAAGAAAAAGCUGUAAUCGAAGCUGGCGUUGGGGACAUUCUGGAGACCCCAGUUGGCGUGACCGAUAAAACCAUUGGGCUUCCCACCUUGUCCGAAAGCGAAGGCGAAUCCGAACACGUAAUACGAGAUGCCACCGCAAGCAGCGUCUAGCACGUUGGUGAGCAUAAUGUUCAUCGUGUUCUUAGCCCGCACCGAACCGGCACACAGCAUGGCGAAACCCAGCUGCAUAGCAAACACCAAGUAGGUGGAGAACAGCAGGUACGUGUUGUCAACAGCCAGGGUGGUGAACCCGAGGCGCGCAUCGAUGCCAUCGAGCUUGGAGCAAAGAAACUCGCUCAAGCCAGUGGCAUUGCCCGAGGCACCCAGAUACCCCUGAAGAAUGGUCAGGUCCCCCGCCGCACACCCGUAGGUCGUCAUGGUCGACCUCCACGACACUCACACCUCACAACCAGAGCUCCUGCAAACCAACUGUCUAUCCUGCAACGACCCACUCCCCACCAUCGAGCCCACUUCGUCCUUGUAAUCCACUUCCACGAGAGCCACGAAGCAUUUAUAUCCUCCUCAGGCACCCCCCAGCGGUGACUCCGUUCGCGUCGUCCUCCUCUGCGGAACACGAGGACACCAGAGGACAAUUCGCGGCCACUCAACACCCUAGAGGAUCGGUCCACUCUGUGGGUACUGCGGUAAUUCGACGACGCCGCAAGUUCGCCUCUAAACAGGGUGCGAAAAGUGACACAGCGAGGAACCAGUAACGCGACGGGUUAUGGGCGUAAACGCCCAUCCCGUCGGCCUCGCUUUUAACCCGGCCACAAUGUCGCAGUCCUCCGGCCGGCGACACGACGGAUAUUUCAUCGUUCGUCCAGGGCGACUGUCCGUCGGCCAAUUCUCGUCUCUGUCUCCAACUGGAAGGGUGAUCAGGUCCAAUGCUGGGGCCCGCUUUGAUGCCGUUUAACCUUUUCCUUAUUUCGCUCCUCUUGCCUGUUACUUAAUCCUUUGCCUACGUUUACUUUCCCUUCUCGCUAUGCUAUUUCACUUGGUGGCAUUGAAAGAAAUACUAGAUUACUGCAUGUGAAAAUAAUUGGGUAUUUAUCUUUGCACUCUCUGGUAUUCUAAUGUAGUAUUUUAACCGCGUUCUAAAUGUAUUUUGAUGUGAAAUGCGUUGCAUUUAUGUUUGGAAUUGUGCAUACCGUUUUUAUUAUAAAAGCGGGUUUAUUUGUGAUUGUGAAUGUGAUAAAAAAUUUAUUCUUAACAUCUGUGUUAUUUAUAUUCUAAGAUGCAGAUUAAGAACCGCCGUUGUGGGCGUGUCUAUUGAUUAUAUUGGGAUCUUUGUGUGCACUUUUUCAUUUUCCAUAUUUAAUAGUAUUCCGUUUAUGUUUUUGGAAGGUGUAAUGUAGGGCUGGAACAUUAUUCCAUGUUCUUGAUGUUCUUCGUUGCGACAUCUUCAAUAAUAUUCCUGGAAUAAUUGAAGUUUAUGGUCUUAUUUAAUUUGUGACCAAGUACAAUUUUACAUAUGUUUAUAUGUAGCGUGCUAUUUUAAUAUUUUGUGUAAUGUUUGAGGAUGCUACAUUGAAGCACCCCAAUCUUGUUUUGAAGAGUAUUAGUUUUAAGUAUGCAUAAUAUAUGUAUAUAUAUAUAUAUAUAUAUAUAUAUACUAUUUAUUACACAGCUUUAAAGUAAAUAAAUCAAUCAAGUUCCAAUAUAUGUUUCCAAAAAAAAUAUGUUUAGAGCCAUUAAAUUAUAUUUAUAUGGAUGCAACUGCUACAUGCUAGUUUUUAUAUUGCAGGGUUUGCUAUUAAAUAAAUAAAUUUACAGAAAGUUGAAUAUUUUAUUAAUACACAAGAUAUUUUUCAAUCCUAGGCUUAAAUUCGAUUUUUUUUCUUAGGCCCAUAAAUUACAUUACGUGAAAACAUAUUAAACCACAAUAACUUUUCAAGGUUUAAUAAUCGGAACAUCACAGUGCAAAGAGAACAGAUUGUGAAAAUGUUGACCUUAAAGGAAUAUUCAUUAUUGGGAAGCAAUUUAUUAUGUAGGAAUUGCUGCCAAGUUUUCGUUCUGAAAUUAUUUCUAUUUGUAAGAUGGUUGACCUAACAUGUAUCAUUACUAUUCUUAUAUAUAUAUAUAUAUAUAUAUAUAUCUAAACAGGUCUUUUUCUGUAGGCUGCAAUGUCCAGGCUUCCUUGCUAGUAUUGAGUCACUAAAUUAUCCAAAAUCUAGUUCAAUCUAUUUUCUCAUUCCAGCGCCUUUGCUUACUUGUAAUGGUUUCUAUUUUUGUGGCCCUCAUUUCUAGAUGCAAACUGGAAGUAACUGUAUAUUCUUGUUUGCUUAGUUUUGGACACCAAUCUACAGUAAUAGUUUAAAACAUGAUUCAAAAUUAUUUAAAAUAUAAAAUAGAACAAAGCAAAGAUAGCAGUAUAUUUUAAUGAUAAAAUGUUUGUAGGUAGGUUAGGUUUAAGUUUCAUUGUUUUGCUUGUAAUGGUUCCAUUUAUAUGUGCCUCAGGAACUAACUUGGGUGGCUGUCAAAUGUAAAAUGUGUCUGGCUUUUGCUAUAGAGCUCAAAUAUUGACAUACUCUUUUCUAUGAAUUGUGGCUUUUGCACCCCUUGACCCAAGUGGUUCCCUAGGUGGCAUAUAUGUGUAGUAGUUAUUAUUAUUGUUAUUAUUACACACUAACCCAGAAGAGAGUUAUUUCCCAAGCUUGAUAAAUAUCAAAUUAAAACAAGUUGAGCCAGAAAACAAGAAUGGAUACAACAAGAUGGUGAGGAAAGUCAGUUAGUACUGUGCUUCUCAACUGUCUCCCUAAAUACCUGGUAGAAAACUGCCACACUAUUAAGGCAAAGAAAUUCAAUAGUCUAUUAGUACUAUUCAUCACUGUGCUGAUAAACCUGCUUAAUUUAUAUUAUCUACACACUGGUUUGUUUUGUUUUGUUUGUUUGUUUAUCCAUGUCAGCACAGAGUUUGCAUUCCACAUGAAUCUGUGACUAUUACAUCACUUCAAUGCAACUCUCUCACUUACUUGAAGACCAAAUUUGCAGUCCUACAGGUCAAGUUCCAAAAUCUGACUUGAACUGCUGCUAUGGGUCAGAUAAUACUUUAGUGGUCAUUUUUAUUUGACCACAAUAACUGUGUUGUACGUUUUGAAUCAAAGUGUGAAACCAGAUGUCUUGCCAUGGGCUGCAUAACUCCUUUGAUUACAUGAAAGAAAUGAGAGCAUUUUUCAACCUUCCUUUGCCACAAGAUCUGGAGAAUGGUUUGUGCUGGGACCAGAAUCUGGCACUAAUGGAUGAAUGGCUAUGUUGUCUUUGUUGGUAAAAGUUGUCCAUGUGUGAUGCACCAAAAGUUUUUCUGCCAAUAACAGGUCUUCUAAAUGUGGAAAAUGUCAUGCCCUAUAAUGCUCCCAUAAACGGGCAUUUGUCUGUUCCUUUGAGAAUCAAAUCAUGAAGGUUAUUCACAGAAUUUAUUUUGCUUGUGAAGGUUAGCACAAACAAAGCAAUUUAAAAUUUUGAAUUGCACUGGUGAAUUUUACUAUUUUUGAAAAAAGCCCUGCCUCAUUUGAUGAUCACCUUAACUUUCUUCUUUUUGUUUUUUUGUUUUUUUAAAAGCACUUGCAUGGAUUUACAGUUACAAUGUCACUUACCACAAUGUUUUAUGUCCCAAUCACAGUGUGUGUUUAUUGAUUUAUCUGUCAUUUUAUCACUAGUUUUUUUUCUUCUUAAAGCUGAUAACUUGAAUAAAACUUGAAUCGUAACUUUAUUUUCAAACUUCAGACGUAUCAAAACUGAAAGCCUAGUUCGUAAAAGUCUCCUUACAUGGAAUUAUUUGAAUAUCAGAGAAUCUAGAACAACCAAGUACUCCACGAUGACAGGUUCAUUUCUAUGCCAAUUAAUACGCCCUUGGAUUUCAACCUGACACAUUCUGGUAAUUUUCUCCACGAGAUUCAUAUGUACCAAGAUAAUGACUUCUAAAAUCUCACUGUUUUCUACUACUGUUAUCAUGUAUACGUAAAUAUUCACAAGUUUCACUGUGCUUACCAAGCUGACAACAGAGAAGGAUGAGAUGAUUUCCACUUCUCAAUUAGAAAGCUCUAUUCGCAUCGUAUUUAUCCUGUUCUCUUUGUUUCUCAUCAAUGAUUACAGACAGAAUUGUUAACAUAAAGCCACUCGAGCAUCAUGUCUGCGAGCUUUUCAACAGUACAUAGCAGAUCAACGAAAAGCACUGAUGGAAUAUUAGUUGUUCCAACACGUAUUUAUUAGUUCCCACGAUGAAAAAGAACCUCGAUUUGAGGAAAAAACAGUGAGGAUUGCAACCAUGAACUGGAAUAUUGCCUUCUUUGGCACACGCGACCUCAAAUAGAUUGCUGAGUCUCAGCUGUUAAAGUCACGAGAUAAAGCUUCUUAGGCUGUCAUUCUAAGUCUGACACAGAAAUCAGAUCCUAAUUGGUACUUUCAGUAAGCCACCUGAAGGCUUUUCACGAAGUGACAAGAAUCAGUCCCAGCACAUCAACCCAUCCUCGAGGGUGCUGCGCAGAGGAAGGGCAUAUCGAGGCAACUUCUUCAAAAGCGAUGGCAAAUGAUAACUUCUGUGCAACUGGGGGCACAUCACGAAGCGCAGUGCGGCUGCGAGUGUGGCUUCGACGUUACACCAAGAGCACUCCACCAGUAAGAGCUUAAAUCUACCAACUGAACCAUGUCGCUCCGAAUCAACGCCAUGGACGUUCAAGACGCAUUUAGAUUGGGAUUUUACCAUUGUGAUUCUUAUCCCCCUUCGUAGUGAAGUGCACCAACUGCUCCGAGCCGUCGUUGUGAAUAUAUGCAGUACCUCCAUGCCUCGUCAAAUCCAUACCUGCAAUCUCAUCUUCGGAGGAGAUACGCAGCAGCCGGAACCUGUGAAGGGCGAGAAACAGCGGGCCCAUCGUCACAGUCACCCAACCCGUAAUCGCAAGAAUUUGAACGAUUUGGGCAGCUAGCAACCUGCCACCGCCUCCCAUGAAUAGACCAAAAGGUCUGUCGGCGUUGCCACCAUAAAUUUGCUGAACGUAAUUCUUCUCAGCGAAAAGUCCCACAAACAGAAGACCCCAUGCUCCGCAACCGGCGUGAAGCUGAGCAGCUUCAAGGGGGUCAUCGUAGUGGAAACGAGCUGUAAAAAUGCCAAAUUCCAGUAAGUAAAUGAAUUACCUCAAAGAAAGUACCAACGCCCACACUAAAGAAUAUCUAGUUUGACCACAUCACUUCUCGUCCCAGUAAACAAUCAAGUCCGCUUUGUUGGAGCAAUGGCAAUGCGACACAACCCAUCACCCUAAGUAUGAAGAGAGGACGCUGAAUAGGAACAAAACCUAGUCCCACCCGAUUUACCUUGAAUGGUGUCACGGUAAAGGAAACGACUAACACAGGUACAAUUCAACAACUCGACCAGAGCAUUAAAAACAUCAACAAAGUAACCCUGUAAAACACAAAAUAUACACACCAGCAAGCCUGUUGAAGCCGAUCAGCACCCAUGCAGCUCCAAACCCGCAGAUGAUACUCGCCCAUGGAGACACCACGGCGCAUGAUGCUGUGAUCGCCGCAAACCCUCCCAACACCCCGUUGCACACAUCCAGCACGUUCCAGUGCCCAUCCAACAACCUCUUCCCGAACAAUGUUGUCACUCCCGCUGUCGAUCCCGCCAACGUCGUCGUCACUGCAGUCCUCCCAACUCCGCUCCAGUUGCCCUUCACUCCCUCGUAUGGCACCAGAAUCUUCAGAAAGCUCCCCGGGUUGAAUCCGUACCAUCCGAACCACAACAGGAACGUCCCCAACACAACCAACGUCGCACUGUGACCGCGAAAGUUCAUCGAGUUCCCAGAUUUGUCAAAUCGUCCAAUUCGUGGUCCCUCUAUGAACGCGCCCCAGAACCCAGCCAGCCCUCCCACCAUGUGCACCACGCCGCUACCAGCGAAGUCGAUCGCCCCACUCCCGAACAACAGCCCGCCGGGACCCACACUCUUCGUCGCCGACAGCCAACCAUCCGUCGACCACAGCCAGUGAGACACAAUCGGGUACACAAAUCCAGUCAGCACCGACGAAUACACCAGGUACGCUACGAACUGCGUGCGCUCCGCAAUCGACCCGGAUGUGAUUCCCGCGGCAGCGAUCGCGAACGCCCACUGAAACAAGAAAAAGCUGUAAUCGAAGCUGGCGUUGGGGACAUUCUGGAGACCCCAGUUGGCGUGACCGAUAAAAC
rnacentral:lncRNA from 1 species